AGGAUGAACGCUGGCGGCGUGCCUAAUACAUGCAAGUCGAGCGGUAAGGCCACUUCGGUGGUACACGAGCGGCGGACGGCUGAGUAACACGUAGGAACGUACCCCAAACUGAGGGAUAAGCACCAGAAAUGGUGUCUAAUACCGCAUGUGCUCUUCGGAGUAAAGCUACGGCGGUUUGGGAACGGCCUGCGCAAGAUUAGCUUGUUGGUGAGGUAAUAGCUCACCAAGGCGACGAUCUUUAGCUGGUCUGAGAGGAUGACCAGCCAGACUGGAACUGAGAACGGUCCAGACUCCUACGGGAGGCAGCAGUAGGGAAUUUUCCACAAUGGACGAAAGUCUGAUGGAGCAACGCCGCGUGCAGGAUGAAGGCGCUCUGCGUCGUAAACUGCUUUUUACAAGGAAGAAAGAUUUGUUUCUACAGAUUUUGACGGUACUUGAGGAAUAAGCACCGGCUAACUCCGUGCCAGCAGCCGC
rnacentral:rRNA from 1 species